rnacentral:rRNA from 1 species
GAUGAACGCUGGCGGCGUGCCUAAUACAUGCAAGUAGAACGCUGAAGGAGGAGCUUGCUCUUCUGGAUGAGUUGCGAACGGGUGAGUAACGCGUAGGUAACCUGCCUGGUAGCGGGGGAUAACUAUUGGAAACGAUAGCUAAUACCGAAUGACAACAGUUAUUGCAUGAUAACUGUUUAAAAGGGGCAACUGCUCCACUACCAGAUGGACCUGCGUUGUAUUAGCUAGUUGGUGAGGUAACGGCUCACCAAGGCGACGAUACAUAGCCGACCUGAGAGGGUGAUCGGCCACACUGGGACUGAGACACGGCCCAGACUCCUACGGGAGGCAGCAGUAGGGAAUCUUCGGCAAUGGACGGAAGUCUGACCGAGCAACGCCGCGUGAGUGAAGAAGGUUUUCGGAUCGUAAAGCUCUGUUGUAAGAGAAGAACGAGUGUGAGAGUGGAAAGUUCACACUGUGACGGUAUCUUACCAGAAAGAGACGGCUAACUACGUG